GACGAACACUGGCGGCGUGCCUAAUACAUGCAAGUCGAACGCACAGUUUAUACCGUAGCUUGCUACACCAUAGACUGUGAGUUGCGAACGGGUGAGUAACGCGUAGGUAACCUGCCUGGUAGCGGGUGAUAACUAUUGGAAACGAUAGCUAAUACCGCAUAAUAUUGAUUAUUGCAUGAUAAUUAAUUGAAAGGUGCAAUUGCACCACUACCAGAUGGACCUGCGUUGUAUUAGCUAGUAGGUGAGGUAACGGCUCCCCUAGGCGACGAUACAUAGCCGACCUGAGAGGGUGAUCGGCCACACUGGGACUGGGACACGGCCCAGACUCCUACGGGAGGCAGCAGGAGGGAAUCUUCGGGAAUGGACGAAAGUCUGAACGAGCAACGCCGCGUGGGGGAAGAAGGUUUUCGGAUCGUAAAGAUCUGUUGUUAGAGAAGAACGGGUGUUGGAGUGGAAAGUUCACACUGUGACGGUAUCUUACCAGAAAGGGACGGCUAACUACGUG
rnacentral:rRNA from 1 species